AUCGCUUCUCGGCCUUUUGGCUAAGAUCAAGUGUAGUAUCUGUUCUUAUCAGUUUAAUAUCUGAUAUGUCCUCUAUAUGAGGACAACAUAUUAAGCCGAUUUUUGGCAGCGGGAGUUGAAAAAGGAGCUAGCUCCGUUCUCUCCAAGCAUCGCCCCGGUACUGCAGUGCCGCCGGGAAUGGUGCACGCUUC